rnacentral:tRNA from 1 species
CGUGGCCAAGUGGUAAGGCAGCGGGUUUUGGUCCCGUUACUCGGAGGUUCGAAUCCUUCCG